GAUAAACGCUGGCGGCGCACAUAAGACAUGCAAGUCGAACGGACUUAACCAUUAGUUUACUAUUGGAGCGGUUAGUGGCGGACUGGUGAGUAACACGUAAGCAACCUGCCUAUCAGAGGGGAACAACAGAUAGAAAUGACUGCUAAUACCGCAUAUGCCUUGACUAUCACACGAUAUAAUAGGGAAAGGAGCAAUCCGCUGAUAGAGGGGCUUGCGUCUGAUUAGAUAGUUGGUGGGGUAACGGCCUACCAAGUCGACGAUCGGUAGCCGGACUGAGAGGUUGAACGGCCACAUUGGGACUGAGAUAAGGCCCAGACUCCUACGGGAGGCAGCAGUCGGGAAUAUUGCGCAAUGGAGGAAACUCUGACGCAGUGACGCCGCGUGCAGGAAGAAGGUUUUCGGAUUGUAAACUGCUUUAGACAGGGAAUAAACAAGACAGUACCUGUAGAAUCAGCUCCGGCUAACUACGUGCCAGCCGCCGCUGUAAUAC
rnacentral:rRNA from 1 species